UGGGGAAUUUUGCACAAUGGGGGAAACCCUGAUGCAGCGACGCCGCGUGAUUUAGAAGGCCUUCGGGUUGUAAAAAUCUUUUCUAUGGGAAGAAAAUGACAGUACCAUAGGAAUAAGGACCGGCUAAUUACGUGCCAGCAGCCGCGGUAAUACGUAAGGUCCGAGCGUUGUCCGGAAUCAUUGGGCGUAAAGGGUACGUAGGCGGGUAAGCAAGUUAGAAGUGAAAUCCUGUAGCUCAACUACAGUAAGCUUUUAAAACUGCUCAUCUUGAGGUAUGGAAGGGAAAGUGGAAUUCCUAGUGUAGCGGUGAAAUGCGCAGAUAUUAGGAGGAAUACCGGUGGCGAAGGCGACUUUCUGGCCAUAUACUGACGCUGAGGUACGAAAGCGUGGGUAGCAAACAGG
rnacentral:rRNA from 1 species